GCAUAAAUGGUUCACUGGUAGAAUUCUUGUCUGCCACGCGGGAGACCCGGGUCCGAUUCCUGGCCAAUGCA
rnacentral:tRNA from 1 species